rnacentral:rRNA from 2 species
UAAACGACUCUCGGCAACGGAUAUCUUGGCUCACGCAUCGAUGAAGAACGUAGCAAAAUGCGAUACUUGGUGUGAAUUGCAGAAUCCCGUGAACCAUCGAGUUUUUGAACGCAAGUUGCGCCCGAAGCCAUUCGGUCGAGGGCACGUCUGCCUGGGCGUCACGC